rnacentral:tRNA from 1 species
GCCUGGGUGGCUCAGUCAGUGAGGCAUCUGACUUUGGCUCAGGUCAUGAUCUCACAGUUCGAGGGUUCGAGCCCUGCUUCGGGCU